AACGAACGCUGGCGGCAGGCCUAACACAUGCAAGUCGAGCGAGAUCUUCGGGUCUAGCGGCGGACGGGUGAGUAACGCGUGGGAAUAUGCCUCUUGGUACGGAAUAGCCUCGGGAAACUGGGAGAAAUACCGUAUGUGCCCUUUGGGGGAAAGAUUUAUCGCCAAGAGAUUAGCCCGCGUUGGAUUAGGUAGUUGGUGGGGUAAUGGCCUACCAAGCCGACGAUCCAUAGCUGGUUUGAGAGGAUGAUCAGCCACACUGGGACUGAGACACGGCCCAGACUACUACGGGAGGCAGCAGUGGGGAAUCUUAGACAAUGGGGGCAACCCUGAUCUAGCCAUGCCGCGUGAGUGAUGAAGGCCUUAGGGUUGUAAAGCUCUUUCAGCUGGGAAGAUAAUGACGGUACCAGCAGAAGAAGCCCCGGCUAACUCCGUG
rnacentral:rRNA from 1 species